rnacentral:rRNA from 1 species
GGGGGCUUGGAGUUUCUAACUCCCACCCAUGUGACUUACCUUUGUUGCCUCGGUGGAGGAGCUUGAGGUGGCCUACCCUGUAACGAGUUACCCUGUAACGACUUACCCGGGAACGGCCCCCCAGGACCAACCACCGGCGGACACUAAACUCUUGUUAUUUUAUGUAAUCUGAGCGUCUUAUUUUAAUAAGUCAAAACUUUCAACAACGGAUCUCUUGGUUCUGGCAUCGAUGAAGAACGCAGCGAAAUGCGAUAAGUAAUGUGAAUUGCAGAAUUCAGUGAAUCAUCGAAUCUUUGAACGCACAUUGCGCCCAUUAGUAUUCUAGUGGGCAUGCCUGUUCGAGCGUCAUUUCAACCCUUAAGCCUAGCUUAGUGUUGGGAAUUUACAGUUAAAUGUAAUUCCUGAAAUACAACGGCGGAUCUGUGGUAUCCUCUGAGCGUAGUAAAUUAUUUCUCGCUUUUGUCAGGUGCUGCAGCUCCCAGCCGCUAAACCCCCAAUUUUUUGUGGUUGACCUCGGAUCAGGUAGGAAUACCCGCUGAACUUAAGCAUAUCAAUAAGCGGAGGAA